rnacentral:rRNA from 1 species
GAUGAACGCUGGCGGCGUGCCUAAUACAUGCAAGUCGAGCGAACGGACGAGAAGCUUGCUUCUCUGAUGUUAGCGGCGGACGGGUGAGUAACACGUGGAUAACCUACCUAUAAGACUGGGAUAACUUCGGGAAACCGGAGCUAAUACCGGAUAAUAUUUUGAACCGCAUGGUUCAAAAGUGAAAGACGGUCUUGCUGUCACUUAUAGCUGGAUCCGCGCUGCAUUAGCUAGUUGUUAAGGUAACGGCUUACCAAGGCAACGAUGCAUAGCCGACCUGAGAGGGUGAUCGGCCACACUGGAACUUGGCCACGGUCCAGACUCCUACGGGAGGCAGCAGUAGGGAAUCUGCCGCAAUGGGCGAAAGCAUGACGGAGCAACGCCGCGUGAGUGAUGACGGUCUUCGGAUCGUAAAACUCUGUUAUUAGUGAAGAACAUAUGUGGAAGUAACUGUGCACAGCGUGACGGUACCUAAUCAGAAAGCCCCGGCUAACUACGUG